rnacentral:tRNA from 1 species
ACAUAGCUCAACUGGACGAGAGCAACGGAUUUCUAAUCCGUAGGUUGAGGGUUCGACUCCUUCUGUG